rnacentral:rRNA from 1 species
UACGUAGGGUGCGAGCGUUGUCCGGAAUUAUUGGGCGUAAAGGGCUCGUAGGCGGUUUGUCGCGUCGGGAGUGAAAACCAGGUGCUUAACACCUGGCUUGCUUUCGAUACGGGCAGACUAGAGGUAUGCAGGGGAGAACGGAAUUCCUGGUGUAGCGGUGAAAUGCGCAGAUAUCAGGAGGAACAGCCGGUGGCGAAAGCGGCUUCCUGGUCCGACACCGACGUUCAGGCACGAAAGCGUGGGGAGCAAACAGGG